rnacentral:misc_RNA from 1 species
UCACCUGUUCUAAAACGCUAUCUAACGUUAAUUCUAAAAUUUAGAAAUGCGCUUUGAAGCGUCACCAAAUUAUAUUCUGUGCAUGCUGGGCUAGGGAUGAUUGAGGUUUGAUAUAUUCAAAAUGGCUGAUCGUCGAAGAACGUACGAAGUGAUAAGCGAAGCGCAGAGGAAGAUUCUUUGUGACUUCUUCGAUAAAGGCAUGAAUUCAACAGCUAGUAACAUGCAGAGAACUAUAGUGGAGGCUUCUGAUAAAGCUAACGUAACUGUAGAACGAGUGAAGGUAUUUAUUUUUGUCUUUGAAGUUUAGAUGGCGUGUUAAUUUGCAUAUUGACGCAAGUUUUGAAAUAAACGCGUUAUGAAUAUUGUAUAUCUGUAAAUACGCACUAACUACACUUGCUAUUGUUAGCUACAUCUAUAGCUCUGUGGCAUGAGCAUUGUACAUUUGCACGGGCAUCGCAAUUCGCAAAAACAAAUGGAUUGGAAACGAAAGGCAGAAACGAAAAGCCUCAUCUGCUAUUGGGACAGAUGCACCUGGUGAGACCUCUGGCUUGGCAACAAGAAAGUGUCCUGUAAAGCGUGGGACCACAGCAUACAACCUUUUUUGCUCGAGCAUGCUUACCUCAGGUUAGGUUCAUAAUAAUCUCUCAUUUAAUAAGCCCCCUUUCAAAUAAGCCAAAUUGUACUAUGUUCUCUGAUCAAAUUUAUAAUGGAAUUAUGAAAACUUAUUGAACUUAUCAAUCCCAUCUAUUUCAGGGCCUUUUUGGCUUGUGCUGAGAGGGGAUUUAUAGAGGGGACCUUGUAUCAUAAAGCAUGAAUGAAGAAUAGAGCAUGUCUCAAUUGUGUUGGUGUGUAAGGACAAUGGACUAAAUUGCAGUAUCUUAUAUGGUGCUACAAAUAUUUUAUAUGA